rnacentral:misc_RNA from 1 species
UUUUUGUGUCCUUGAAUGACCACAAAAUCGGGUAUGAAUGUUGUUUCAAGUUCUAGAUGUGCAUGUUAUUACCAGGAGUUUGGAUCCCUCACUAAUUGCGCAAUAAACCGUAUCACUUGCCCUGGGUACAAACCAUUUGGAGACAUUUAAACUUGUGUAUGUGAGGGGAUAAUGUACAUCAACAAGUUUUACCUUAUAUGCUUUAUCAGUGAAACUUGUGACUUCAAUUGUUGUUGAAAUUGAUAAAUGUGGUGACCUAAUAUUAUUUGACAUGGGGAAUGUGAACCGACACUCGGGGCAGUCAUCUCACCCUACCCCAGAGUCCCAACCCUCAGGGAAAAGACACAGGAGAACACAUCUUACUAAAUCAGUUGAUAAGUUGCUGUACUUGUUGAGUCAAGGAUGUAUGCUACACAAGGUAAAAGGUGGGGGCUUGCUGUACCCGCGGACAUUCUAUCUCGACACAGAGAAUAUGGUGCUGAAAUAUUCGGGGUCUGAAAAACGUUUGAGGAAAAAAAGAAUAUCAUGGCCUAUAUCAAAGAUCCGAGAAGUGAGAGAGGGAGAAAAAGACUAUUCCAAACGCCUGGACCCAUACGAUAGGGGGCGUUGCCUUGCUGUAGUGUUUGGGACAAACCAUGAGGUCCUGUAUUUGAUGAGUGAAACCUCUCAGAUGAGAGAUGACUGGAUCAAGGGACUCCGAUUCGCUCUCCACAUGGAUCAGUACAUGGAUCAGAAACAGCAAACUGAUAGAUGGAUCAGAGAAGCUUUUCAAAUGGCUGACAAAAACAACGACAGGAGUCUGGACUUUGAAGAAAUUCUCAAAUUAUUGAAACAGCUAAAUGCAGACAUGGACAAAAAAUAUGUUUUGGAACUCUUCAAUAAAGCAGACACAACUAAAACUCACGGUAAGCCAGUAUUAGAUGCUGAGGAGUUUGUCCGAUUCUAUCACAUGUUGACAGAGAGACCGGAAAUAGAUGAAAUAUUCAUGAAAUACGACGAUGGCAAGGGAUAUUGGACGUUUUCUGAUCUGUGUAAAUUCUUCUAUCAUGAACAAAAGCUUGAUUUGACAGAGGACCAGUCUAAAGAACUAAUAGCAGCCUUUGAACCCCAGAAACAGCUGCAGUUAGAGGAGCACCUCAGCCCCAUAGGGUUCAGAACACUUCUUGCCAGCAAUGACCAACAACUUUUUAACCCCAUUCACAAACGAGUGUAUCAAGACAUGACUCAACCUAUCAUCAACUACUACAUCAGCUCAUCUCAUAACACAUACUUAACAGACGACCAGUUACGAGGACCAAGUCGAGUGGAGGCAUACAUCACAGCUCUGUCCCGAGGCUGCCGAUGUGUUGAAUUGGAUUGUUGGGAUGGACCAGACGAAGAGCCAGUUAUUUACCACGGUUACACCCUCACCUCAAAGAUCUUCUUCCGCGACGUUCUAUCCGCCAUCAAGGAUUAUGCCUUCCAGUCUUCACCGGAUUCUGAUGGUCCUUUUCCAAUGAAAUGUAUGUAGUCCAAAUCAUUGAUAUAGCAAAUUCAUUCAAGAAGGAAAUAUGGAAAUAUUUCAAUGACAAAAUCCAAACAGCAGGUAUCCUGUGAUAUUGUCCAUAGAAAAUCACUGCUCAGUCAAACAACAGACUGUCAUGGCAACAUACAUCAGGUCUAUUUUUGGAGACUUGUUAUAUGCCCCAGAAGAAACUCCAAAUAGAAUUCCCUCCCCUCAUGACCUCAUGGGAAAAAUUGUUAUCAAAGGAAAAAAACUUCCUAACAAUCUCAGCAAUACAGAUGAAGGUGAAGUCAGUGAUGAGGAUGAGGCAGCAGACGUUAGCAACGAGUCUGUCAAACCUCCCAAAAAGGACUCCGGUCACAAAAUCAAACUCAGCCAGGAGUUCUCAGCUUGUGUUGGCUUUAAGGCUGUUGGAUUCAAAGGAGUAGAAGAAUCCAUAAAUUCAAAGGGAAUAUUUGUGUCCCUUGGAGAAAACAAGGCCCUGAAGUUGAUAGAUAAUGACAGAGAUGGGGUCAUCAAGUUGAACCAGCACAUGUUAGUGCGGACGUACCCAGCCGGCAGUAGGACAGACUCCAGUAACUACAAUCCUGUGCCCAUGUGGAAUGCAGGGUGUCAAGUGGUGGCCCUGAAUUUCCAGACCAACUCUGAACCAAUGCAGCUGUUGCAAGGCAAGUUCAUGGACAAUGGAGGAUGUGGCUAUCUGCUGAAGCCAGGAUUUUUGUUGUCAGAUGACAGAUCAGCAUCUCCACGGACAUCCAGAAAGAGGCUGAGCAUUACAAUUGUCAGCGGUUACCAGCUUCCUAAGCCCAAUGAUUCUAAGAAGGGGGAGAUAAUUGACCCAUUCAUCAAAAUAGAAGUACAUGGAGUGAAAGAAGACACUCAGCAGUGCAAGACGAGCGUCAAAGAGAACAAUGGCUUUAACCCACGCUGGGAUGAACACGUUUCCUUUGUCAUCAGUCAGCCUGAUCACGCCAUCAUCCGAUUCGUUGUUUAUGAUCACGACAGAUGUGUUGACGACUUCAUUGGAUAUUUUGCUCUCCCAUUCCAUUCAAUCCAAGAGGGUUACCGCCAUUUUUCUCUCCUGAACAAACACGGAGAUAAGAUCCCAAUGGCUCUCAUACUGCUUAAAGUGGAGAUCAAGGAGGCUUGAUUCCCUUUCUUCAGGUAUUUGGGUCAUGGAAUUUAUAUCAUCCACUGAAGAUGCUCUUUCCCCCACCGAAACACAAAAGAGUUUGUCAUGAUCAAGGACCAUAACUGUGUUGCAUUCAUGCUCAUCAUAUUCAUAAGGGACCAAAUUGAAUCCAGUGAAUGGUGUACAAUGCUUUAAUUUUUUUGUUGCAUAUACAUAUUUGUUUAACCAGAGCAAUAGAAUUUAUAAUGGAUAUAUUUGGUUGUGGUAAUUUGAUCUCUUCUUAAUUUUGUGUACUUAAUUUAGGAUAAGAUUUUAUAGUACAUGUAGGUUGUUAAAUAUGCAUUUAUUUUGUGUAUUUAUAGCAAUACAUUAAUCAUGAAAAAUAUAUGUACGUGUAUAUUUAAAAAAUCUUGAAUUUUUUUCUUGAUAUGAUUUUCUAUCGUAUCUUUUUAAUUGCAAUGAAAUUACCUUUUUAAAGAUGGACAGAAUUUAACACUGUAUAUUCCUUUGAUUACAUGCAUAUAUUUGAACAAAUGUAACAUGGCUGGCUUUGAGGUUAUUGUUAGAUGCUUUGCUUGGUUACAUGUCUUGAAAAUCAUCCAUUCAUAUAUUAUAACUAUUCUCUGUUUAAAGGGAUUCAGUGAUUAUAUUUUGUUUCUUUCUAUAUUAAAUUUUGAAUAAAUUUCAUCUUUUUCAC